UUUGAUCCUGGCUCAGGAUGAACGCUGGCGGCGUGCCUAAUACAUGCAAGUCGAGCGAACGGACGAGAAGCUUGCUUCUCUGAUGUUAGCGGCGGACGGGUGAGUAACACGUGGAUAACCUACCUAUAAGACUGGGAUAACUUCGGGAAACCGGAGCUAAUACCGGAUAAUAUUUUGAACCGCAUGGUUCAAAAGUGAAAGACGGUCUUGCUGUCACUUAUAGAUGGAUCCGCGCUGCAUUAGCUAGUUGGUAAGGUAACGGCUUACCAAGGCAACGAUGCAUAGCCGACCUGAGAGGGUGAUCGGCCACACUGGAACUGAGACACGGUCCAGACUCCUACGGGAGGCAGCAGUAGGGAAUCUUCCGCAAUGGGCGAAAGCCUGACGGAGCAACGCCGCGUGAGUGAUGAAGGUCUUCGGAUCGUAAAACUCUGUUAUUAGGGAAGAACAUAUGUGUAAGUAACUGUGCACAUCUUGACGGUACCUAAUCAGAAAGCCACGGCUAACUACGUGCCAGCAGCCGCGGUAAUACGUAGGUGGCAAGCGUUAUCCGGAAUUAUUGGGCGUAAAGCGCGCGUAGGCGGUUUUUUAAGUCUGAUGUGAAAGCCCACGGCUCAACCGUGGAGGGUCAUUGGAAACUGGAAAACUUGAGUGCAGAAGAGGAAAGUGGAAUUCCAUGUGUAGCGGUGAAAUGCGCAGAGAUAUGGAGGAACACCAGUGGCGAAGGCGACUUUCUGGUCUGUAACUGACGCUGAUGUGCGAAAGCGUGGGGAUCAAACAGGAUUAGAUACCCUGGUAGUCCACGCCGUAAACGAUGAGUGCUAAGUGUUAGGGGGUUUCCGCCCCUUAGUGCUGCAGCUAACGCAUUAAGCACUCCGCCUGGGGAGUACGACCGCAAGGUUGAAACUCAAAGGAAUUGACGGGGACCCGCACAAGCGGUGGAGCAUGUGGUUUAAUUCGAAGCAACGCGAAGAACCUUACCAAAUCUUGACAUCCUUUGACAACUCUAGAGAUAGAGCCUUCCCCUUCGGGGGACAAAGUGACAGGUGGUGCAUGGUUGUCGUCAGCUCGUGUCGUGAGAUGUUGGGUUAAGUCCCGCAACGAGCGCAACCCUUAAGCUUAGUUGCCAUCAUUAAGUUGGGCACUCUAAGUUGACUGCCGGUGACAAACCGGAGGAAGGUGGGGAUGACGUCAAAUCAUCAUGCCCCUUAUGAUUUGGGCUACACACGUGCUACAAUGGACAAUACAAAGGGCAGCGAAACCGCGAGGUCAAGCAAAUCCCAUAAAGUUGUUCUCAGUUCGGAUUGUAGUCUGCAACUCGACUACAUGAAGCUGGAAUCGCUAGUAAUCGUAGAUCAGCAUGCUACGGUGAAUACGUUCCCGGGUCUUGUACACACCGCCCGUCACACCACGAGAGUUUGUAACACCCGAAGCCGGUGGAGUAACCUUUUAGGAGCUAGCCGUCGAAGGUGGGACAAAUGAUUGGGGUGAAGUCGUAACAAGGUAGCCGUAUCGGAAGGUGCGGCUGGAUCACCUCCUUU
rnacentral:rRNA from 1 species